AUAUCAAUAAGCGGAGGAAAAGAAACCAACAGGGAUUGCCUCAGUAACGGCGAGUGAAGCGGCAACAGCUCAAAUUUGAAAUCUGGCCUCACGGUCCGAGUUGUAAUUUGUAGAGGAUGUUUCGAGUGUGGUCCGGUCUAAGUUCCUUGGAACAGGACGUCAUAGAGGGUGAGAAUCCCGUAUGCGACUGGGUGCCUAAUCUCAUGUGAAACUCCUUCGACGAGUCGAGUUGUUUGGGAAUGCAGCUCAAAAUGGGUGGUAAAUUUCAUCUAAAGCUAAAUACUGGCCAGAGACCGAUAGCGCACAAGUAGAGUGAUCGAAAGAUGAAAAGCACUUUGGAAAGAGAGUUAAACAGUAC
rnacentral:rRNA from 1 species